ACAUCCAAGGAAGGCAGCAGGCGCGCAAAUUACCCAAUCCCGACACGGGGAGGUAGUGACAAUAAAUACUGAUACAGGGCUCUUUUGGGUCUUGUAAUUGGAAUGAGUACAAUUUAAAUCCCUUAACGAGGAACAAUUGGAGGGCAAGUCUGGUGCCAGCAGCCGCGGUAAUUCCAGCUCCAAUAGCGUAUAUUAAAGUUGUUGCAGUUAAAAAGCUCGUAGUUGAACCUUGGGCCUGGCUGGCCGGUCCGCCUCACCGCGUGUACUGGUCCGGCCGGGCCUUUCCUUCUGGGGAACCUCAUGCCCUUCACUGGGCGUGUUGGGGAACCAGGACUUUUACUUUGAAAAAAUUAGAGUGUUCAAAGCAGGCCUUUGCUCGAAUACAUUAGCAUGGAAUAAUAGAAUAGGACGUGUGGUUCUAUUUUGUUGGUUUCUAGGACGCCGUAAUGAUUAAUAGGGAUAGUCGGGGGCAUCAGUAUUCAAUCGUCAGAGGUGAAAUUCUUGGAUUGAUUGAAGACUAACUACUGCGAAAGCAUUUGCCAAGGAUGUUUUCAUUAAUCAGUGAACGAAAGUUAGGGGAUCGAAGA
rnacentral:rRNA from 1 species